rnacentral:rRNA from 1 species
UGACCUCGGAUCAGUAGGAUCCCAG